UACGUAGGGACCAAGCGUUGUUCGGAUUUACUGGGCGUAAAGGGCGCGUAGGCGGUCAGCACAAGUCAGUUGCGAAAUCUCCGGGCUUAACUCGGAAAGGUCAACUGAUACUGUGCGACUAGAGUGCAGAAGGGGCAACUGGAAUUCUCGGUGUAGCGGUGAAAUGCGUAGAUAUCGAGAGGAACACCUGCGGCGAAGGCGGGUUGCUGGGCUGACACUGACGCUGAUGCGCGAAAGCGUGGGGAGCAAACAGG
rnacentral:rRNA from 1 species